rnacentral:rRNA from 1 species
CAGCCGCCGCGGUAAUACAGAGGGUGCGAGCGUUAAUCGGAAUCACUGGGCGUAAAGCGCACGUAGGCGGACACUUAAGUCAGAGGUGAAAUCCCCGGGCUCAACCUGGGAACUGCAUCCAAAACUGGCGAGCUAGAGUAUGGUAGAGGGUGGUGGAAUUUCCUGUGUAGCGGUGAAAUGCGUAGAUAUAGGAAGGAACAUCAGUGGCGAAGGCGACCACCUGGACUGAUACUGACACUGAGGUGCGAAAGCGUGGGGAGCAAACAGGAUUAGAUACCCGAGUAGUCCCUGUCUCUUAUAC